UCGAGAAUUUUUCACAAUGGGCGCAAGCCUGAUGGAGCGACGCCGCGUGGGGGAUGAAUGGCUUCGGCCCGUAAACCCCUGUCAUUUGCGAUCAAACCUUGCUAUUUAAAAGAUGGCGAGCUGAUAGUAGCGAAAGAGGAAGGGACGGCUAACUCUGUGCCAGCAGCCGCGGUAAUACAGAGGUCCCAAGCGUUGUUCGGAUCACUGGGCGUAAAGGGUGCGUAGGUGGUGGGGUAAGUCGGAUGUGAAAUCUCGGAGCUCAACUCCGAAAUGGCAUUGGAAACUACCCUGCUAGAGGGUCGGAGGGGGGACUGGAAUUCUCGGUGUAGCAGUGAAAUGCGUAGAUAUCGAGAGGAACACCAGGGGCGAAGGCGAGUCCCUGGACGACUCCUGACACUGAGGCACGAAAGCUAGGGGAGCAAACA
rnacentral:rRNA from 1 species